CAUCAAUCUUCAGCCACGAACGGACACAACUAUGACUGCCUACGUUUUCAGUUUCCGUGUGUUUACUCGUCAAUUGAUUCCGGGCGUUUUAAGCCACCAUUUAACGAGCCGUUUGUUCCUACUUAAGCUCCACACCCUCCUCUUCAUUUCCCCUCAAACCACACAGACCGAGAGCCUCCAGGCUGCUCGAAUUUGGCCUCGCAAGUCCGCGGUACUGCCGCAUUAUAUCGUCGAAUUCGCGACGGCGCCAUCUUCGACUGUGAGAACGUACGCGAGAGGUUUUCCGGCGAAACAGUGCACCUCAACGUCCGUGACUUCUUCAUCAAGUUCUCCUCGUAAUCUUAAUCUUUAAUACCUUCAUCUGCUUCAUUACGCCAGGGAUCGCAGGAACAUCAACGACCUCAAGAGCCGACCAUAACGACCGCGUUUUCUUUUAAGUGACUUGUUCCCAUUGUGGUUGUGUUGAUUGCAACGAGUGUUUCUGCGAAGAGUGUACCAACUCGUCCUCUCACCAA